GGAGUUAGCCGGUGCUUCUUCUGUGAGUGAUGUCCUUCCUGCCGGCUAUUAACCCGCAGGCCUUCUUCCUCACUGAAAGUGCUUUACAACCCGAAGGCCUUCUUCACACACGCGGCAUGGCUGGAUCAGGGUUGCCCCCAUUGUCCAAUAUUCCCCACUGCUGCCUCCCGUAGGAGUCUGGGCCGUGUCUCAGUCCCAGUGUGGCUGAUCAUCCUAUCAGACCAGCUACGGAUCGUCGCCUUGGUGAGCCGUUACCUCACCAACCAGCUAAUCCGACAUAGGCUCAUCCGAUAGCGCGAGGCCCGAAGGUCCCCCGCUUUCCCCCGUAGGGCGUAUGCGGUAUUAGCCUGGGUUUCCCCAGGUUAUCCCCCACUACCGGGCAGAUUCCUAUGCAUUACUCACCCGUCCGCCGCUCGCCACCAGGGAGCAAGCUCCCCGUGCUGCCGCUCGACUUGCAUGUGUAGCUCGCCGCCACGCGUCAUCUGAGCAGAUACAACUACUGA
rnacentral:rRNA from 1 species